AUACUUACCUGACUGGGGAAAAAGUCUGAUCCACAAGGGGCUUUUCCCAGAGUGAGGCUUUUGCAUUGCACUCCGCACUGGCUGACCUCUGCGAUUACCGCUAACGUCCGUAACUCGACAGUACAAUUUGUGGUACUAUAUAUAUAUAUAUAUAUAUAUAUAUA